GUUUGAUCCUGGCUCAGGAUGAACGCUGGCGGCGUGCCUAACACAUGCAAGUCGAGCGGUAUAUGCUGAAUUGAAACUUCGGUCGAAUGAAGGCAUAGAGAGCGGCGGACGGGUGAGUAACGCGUAGGCAACCUGCCCUAUACAGAGGGAUAGCCUCGGGAAACCGGGAUUAAAACCUCAUAAUGCGGGGACUUCUCAUGAAGACCCCGCCAAAGAUUUAUCGGUAUGGGAUGGGCCUGCGUCUGAUUAGCUAGUUGGUAGGGUAACAGCUUACCAAGGCAACGAUCAGUAGCCGACCUGAGAGGGUAAUCGGCCACAUUGGAACUGAGACACGGUCCAAACUCCUACGGGAGCAGCAGUGGGGGAAUAUUGCACAAUGGGCGAAAGCCUGAUGCAGCAACGCCGCGUGAGCGAUGAAGGCCUUUGGGUCGUAAAGCUCUGUCCUUGGGGAAGAAAAAAAAUGACGGUACCCUGGAGGAAGCCCCGGCUAACUACGUGCCAGCAGCCGCGGUAAUACGUAGGGGGCAAGCGUUAUCCGGAAUUAUUGGGCAUAAAGAGUGCGUAGGUGGUCUUGUAAGCGCGGGGUGAAAGGCAAUAGCUCAACUAUUGUAAGCCCUGCGAACUGUGAGGCUUGAGUGCAGGAGAGGAAAGCGGAAUUCCUAGUGUAGCGGUGAAAUGCGUAGAUAUUAGGAGGAACACCAGUGGCGAAGGCGGCAUUCUGGACUGUAACUGACACUGAGGCACGAAAGCGUGGGUAGCAAACAGGAUUAGAUACCCUGGUAGUCCACGCCGUAAACGAUGAGCACUAGGUGUCGGGGCCGCAAGGUUUCGGUGCCGCAGUUAACGCAUUAAGUGCUCCGCCUGGGGAGUACGCACGCAAGUGUGAAACUCAAAGGAAUUGACGGGGACCCGCACAAGCAGCGGAGCAUGUGGUUUAAUUCGAAGCAACGCGAAGAACCUUACCAGGGCUUGACAUCCCCCUGACGGUGCCGUAACGGGCAUUUCCCUUCGGGGCAGGGGAGACAGGUGGUGCAUGUUGUCGUCAGCUCGUGUUCGUGAGAUGUUGGGUUAAGUCCGCAACGAGCGCAACCCUUAUCCUUAGUUGCCAGCAAGUAAGUUGGGCCACUCUAAGGAAGACCUGCCGGUGAUAAACCGGAGGAAGGUGGGGAUGACGUCAAAUCAUCAUGCCCCUUAUGUCUUGGGCUACACACGUGCUACAAUGGUCGGUACAACGGGAAGCGAAGAAGUGAUUUGGAGCAAAUCCCAAUAAACCGAUCCCAGUUCGGAUUGCAGGCUGCAACUCGCCUGCAUGAAGUCGGAGUUGCUAGUAAUCGCGAAUCAGAACGUCGCGGUGAAUGCGUUCCCGGGUCUUGUACACACCGCCCGUCACACCA
rnacentral:rRNA from 1 species